UGAGACAAUGUACAACUCUUAUCGAUAAGCCAUUGGAGGGCAAGUCUGGUGCCAGCAGCCGCGGUAAUUCCAGCUCCAAUAGCGUAUAUUAACGUUGUUGCAGUUAAAAAGCUCGUAGUUGAAGUGUGGGUGAUCGCUGUUGUGAGACUUCGGUCUCUCGACAGUAAGUCACCCCCUUCCAGUAUCCAGUAGUGGGUAUUCAGUUACUUACUAUUGUGUGUUGGUCAUUUACUGUGAGAAAAUUAGAGUGUUCAAAGCAGGCGUUUGCUUGAAUAGAUUAGCAUGGAAUAAUAAUUGAAGGCUUUCGUGUUCGAUUUGAUUGGUUUGUUCAUGGAAGCAAGGUUAAAAGGAACAGUUGGGGGUAUUCAUAUUCACUAGUUAGAGGUGAAAUUCUCGGAUUUAUGGAAGAUGAACAAGUG
rnacentral:rRNA from 1 species